ACCUUAAGAUGAGUGCUCUU
rnacentral:rRNA from 1 species